rnacentral:rRNA from 1 species
AUUGAACGCUGGCGGCAGGCCUAACACAUGCAAGUCGAGCGGCAGCGGGAAAGUAGCUUGCUACUUUUGCCGGCGAGCGGCGGACGGGUGAGUAAUGCCUGGGAAAUUGCCCAGUCGAGGGGGAUAACAGUUGGAAACGACUGCUAAUACCGCAUACGCCCUACGGGGGAAAGCAGGGGACCUUCGGGCCUUGCGCGUUUGGAUAUGCCCAGGUGGGAGUAGCUAGUUGGUGAGGUAAUGGCUCACCAAGGCGACGAUCCCUAGCUGGUCUGAGAGGAUGAUCAGCCACACUGGAACUGAGACACGGUCCAGACUCCUACGGGAGGCAGCAGUGGGGAAUAUUGCACAAUGGGGGAAAUCCUGAUGCAGCCAUGCCGCGUGUGUGAAGAAGGCCUUCGGGUUGUAAAGCACUUUCAGCGAGGAGGAAAGGUUGAUGCCUAAUACGUAUCAACUGUGACGUUACUCGCAGAAGAAGCACCGGCUAACUCCGUGCCAGCAGCCGCCGUAAAAC